rnacentral:rRNA from 1 species
CUCGGACCGCGACCCCAGGUCAGGCGGGGCCACCCGCCGAGUUUAAGCAUAUAAAUAAGCGGAGGAGAAGAAACUUACGAGGAUUCCCCUAGUAACGGCGAGCGAACCGGGAAGUGCCCAGCUUGAGAAUCGGGCGGCUCUGCCUCCCGAAUUGUAGUCUGUAGAGGCGUCCUCAGCGGCGGACCGGGCGCAAGUCCCCUGGAAGGGGGCGCCGGAGAGGGUGAGAGCCCCGUCGCGCCCGGACCCUGUCGCAGCACGAGGCGACCUCGGCG